rnacentral:rRNA from 1 species
GACGAACGCUGGCGGCGUGCUUAACACAUGCAAGUCGUACGGUAAGGCCCUUUCGGGGGUCCACGAGUGGCGUACGGGGGGGUAACACGCGAGUAACCUGCCCACAACUUUGGGAUAAGGCUAGGAAACUGGGGCUAAUACUGGAUAUGUACUCCUGCUGCAUGGUGGGGGUUGGAAAGUUCCGGCGGUUGUGGCUGGACGCGCGGCCUAUCGGCGUGUUGGUGGGGUAGUGGCCUACCAAGGCGGCGGCGGGUAGCCGGCCGGGGAGGGUGACCGGCCACCUUGGGACUGGGAUACGGCCCAGACUCCUGAGGGCGGCAGCAGGGGGGAAUAUUGAACAAGGGGCGCAGGCCGGAUGCAGCAACGCCGCGGGCGGGAUGACGGACUUAGGGUUGAAAGCCGCAUUCAGCAGGGACGAGGCAUUUUGUGACGGUACCUGCAGAAGAAGCACCGGCUAACCACGUG